rnacentral:misc_RNA from 1 species
UUUCUGGAGUGAGAAUUCCUCUUCUGGUUACCGGGCCGUAGCUCCCCUGGGAGAGCGCGUGCUUUGCAAGCAUGAGGUCGUCGGUUCGAUCCCGUCUGGCUCCACCAGAUGGUUUGAUCACCGAGAUCUUGACCGUCGUCCGCGAAACAUCACUUCGCAUCCUGCUAGUCUGGAUAGACAGCAGUUUGCGUGUUUUCUGACAUCGUAAAGAGGAGAUCGAUCCGAGUUGGGUCGUGCAGCAUAUCGUUGCGCGAGCCUUCAUUAUCUCCGGAUCAUUUCGGCGCUCGCUUCCAGCCGUGAGGUUGGAUGCGGGUUGUAAAUGAUCCUUUUAGCGAAGCUUGACCGCCUCGCUAUCGGAACGAUCUUACGAAGCAAGCUGGUCUUUCUAGUCAAUGUCCGGCUGCGGAUAGCGUUCAUCGAGGGCGCGUGCCGCAAGGCAAUUCUGCAGACAACAUUCUGCCGAGUGUGUGGACAUUGAUAAUGAGAGCAAUCAAGUGCCUUAAGGGUGUUCGGUGGAUGCCUUGGCGCUGAGAGGCGAUGAAGGACGUGCUACGCUGCGAUAAGCCGUGGGGAGCUGCGAAGAAGCUUUGAUCCGCGGAUUUCCGAAUGGGAA